rnacentral:lncRNA from 1 species
CGAGCUGCUUAAACUUUAUUACCGGAGGCUCUUUCCCUACUCUCAGUACUAUCGCUGGCUCAACUACGGUGGAGUGAUAAAGAAUUACUUUCAACACCGUGAAUUUUCAUUCACAUUGAAAGAUGAUAUUUACAUUCGCUACCAAUCCUUCAACAACCAGAGUGAUCUGGAAAAGGAGAUGCAGAAAAUGAAUCCAUACAAGAUUGAUAUAGGCGCAGUAUAUUCUCACAGAAGGACUUUGGAUUUAAGCAUCGUCUCUGGGUAUAUUCUGGAAGGAGAGGUGUUCAUUGUUGGGUCUGUGAUGAAUCAGUUAGAAAACUGUCUUCUGCAGUACGUUCUGGGAUAGUUGAGUAUUUGAGCCUUGUAAAGGUAAGAUCCUCU